UUUGCUGGUGGUUUUUCAGCCAUAGCAUACGUGGAUGCUAUAUAAGGAAGGCUUAAAGACUCCAUAUUGCUUGAAUGGCUCUAGGUUUUUUCUGUUCUACACAUGUACUAGGGCAUUAGGUCAUGGAUCUGCAACUUUCAUGGCUGAUUAAGAAUACCCAGUUUAGUGUUUUUCUGUUUUACUGGUUUCGGGUAGUUGAAUGUAUGGAUCUAAGGGUUUCUGGUUAGGGUUUACUCUUGUGAUGAUCUCUUACCUCUGUUGUGGUCUUUAGGUCUAGAUCUAUGAAACAAAGUGAAAAGAAAAGAAGGGGGAAUUAGGGUUUUGAUCUAGUGGGUGGAUUUUCUUUCUUUCUGGUUUGUGGAUGUUCGGGCUUUCAUCAUGCAGUGUUAUUAUGGUUGAGAAGUGGAGCUCCUUGAAGUCCAAUAGAGGAUCUUGCUGGGUAGAUUGAGCUGCUGAGCUAUGGAUCCCACAGCCCUAUCUCAUAAUAAAGACUUUAGUCUUCUUGGAUAGGCUUGUGGCUUGCAUAUCUCAGGAGCUUCAUUACCUCUUAUGUUAGAUCCUUGUUUGGAUUGAAGGGAGCUCUACAUCUCAAUCUUUCGUCUCUCUUCUGUUUUGUAUUUUGUUUUUGAUCUUUAAUCUGAUAUAUUUCUUCAUGUAUUUUUGCCUUUUUCUUGUUUCCUUUGCUGUUUCAGGUACUGAUUGCUUUUAAUUCAAGAACUGCGUUUUUCUAUUCUGGGUACAUGGAGGCCUGACUGCUUGCGCAAGCCAGAGAUCUGAGCUUUGAUAAAGUGAUCUGAGUUUUUUUUUUUAAUUUAUUUUUGGGUUUCUGGCCAAUGAGAAAUUCAAGAUUUCUCAGGCUUAGAUCACACCCUUCACAGGAUAGAUUUACUGUACCUUUUCAACAAUUAUUAUCUGUACAGUUCCUGUUAUACAAGAAGACAUCGGCUUUGAAUUUGUAUGAAUAUUUGGCUGGAGAUUAAUUUGAAGGAAUAUUUAACCUAGAUCUUAUCCAUUUUGUCUUUAUUGGUAUUAAUUUAUUGAUUUUUCCUGAUGAUUUUUUUCCUAAUUAUGUAAUUAGGAAAACUUUGGCCUUUGUUUGAUUAUUUUCUAAUUUCUAGUUGAUUAAUCUCUGCAAAUUCUGAUCUUGCUGAAAUAUUAAAUGUAAUGAUAUAUUAUUAAUUUGGUUUCAUAUUAGGUUAAGAAAAAAAUUAAACAAAUAAAUGUGUUUAAUAAAAAUUGGUUAUGAAAUUAAAAAACUUUGGAGUUUCCGAUGUAAUUAAUCUUUCGUUGUCAUUGCUAGUUGGAGC
rnacentral:lncRNA from 1 species